GAGAACUCGGGUGAAGGAACUAGGCAAAAUGGCACCGUAACUUCGGGAGAAGGUGCGCCGGCUAGGGUGAAGGAUUUACUCCGUAAGCUCUGGCUGGUCGAAGAUACCAGGCCGCUGCGACUGUUUAUUAAAAACACAGCACUCUGCAAACACGAAAGUGGACGUAUAGGGUGUGACGCCUCCCCGGUGCCGGAAGGUUAAUUGAUGGGGUUAGCGCAAGCGAAGCUCUUGAUCGAAGCCCCGGUAAACGGCGGCCGUAACAAUAACGGUCCUAAGGUAGCGAAAUUCCUUGUCGGGUAAGUUCCGACCUGCACGAAUGGCGUAACGAUGGCGGCGCUGUCUCCACCCGAGACUCAGUGAAAUUGAAAUCGCUGUGAAGAUGCAGUGUAUCCGCGGCUAGACGGAAAGACCCCGUGAACCUUUACUGUAGCUUUGCACUGGACUUUGAGCCUGCUUGUGUAGGAUAGGUGGGAGGCUUUGAAGCGUGGACGCCAGUUCGCGUGGAGCCAUCCUUGAAAUACCACCCUGGCAUGCUUGAGGUUCUAACUCUGGUCCGUAAUCCGGAUCGAGGACAGUGUAUGGUGGGCAGUUUGACUGGGGCGGUCUCCUCCUAAAGAGUAACGGAGGAGUACGAAGGUGCGCUCAGACCGGUCGGAAAUCGGUCGCAGAGUAUAAAGGCAAAAGCGCGCUUGACUGCGAGACAGACACGUCGAGCAGGUACGAAAGUAGGUCUUAGUGAUCCGGUGGUUCUGUAUGGAAGGGCCAUCGCUCAACGGAUAAAAGGUACUCCGGGGAUAACAGGCUGAUACCGCCCAAGAGUUCAUAUCGACGGCGGUGUUUGGCACCUCGAUGUCGGCUCAUCACAUCCUGGGGCUGAAGCCGGUCCCAAGGGUAUGGCUGUUCGCCAUUUAAAGUGGUACGCGAGCUGGGUUUAGAACGUCGUGAGACAGUUCGGUCCCUAUCUGCCGUGGACGUUUGAGAUUUGAGAGGGGCUGCUCCUAGUACGAGAGGACCGGAGUGGACGAACCUCUGGUGUUCCGGUUGUCACGCCAGUGGCAUUGCCGGGUAGCUAUGUUCGGAAAGGAUAACCGCUGAAAGCAUCUAAGCGGGAAACUUGCCUCAAGAUGAGAUCUCACUGGGAACUUGAUUCCCCUGAAGGGCCGUCGAAGACUACGACGUUGAUAGGCUGGGUGUGUAAGCGUUGUGAGGCGUUGAGCUAACCAGUACUAAUUGCCC
rnacentral:rRNA from 1 species